UACGUAGGAGGCAAGCGUUGUCCGGAAUUACUGGGCGUAAAGCGCGUGUAGGUGGUGGGACAAGUCUGCUGUGAAAGCGCCUGGCUUAACCGGGCGAGGUCGGCGGAAACUGUCCGACUCGAGGACGGUAGAGGGGGGUGGAAUUCCCGGGUGUAGUGGUGAAAUGCGUAGAGAUCGGGAGGAACACCUGUGGCGAAGGCGGCCUUCUGGACAGUGACUGACGCUGAGACGCGAAAGCGUGGGGAGCAAACAGG
rnacentral:rRNA from 1 species